UAAAAUCUUCCAAAUGAAAAAUUUGCUAAAAAUACCCUCCUAAUUAUAAAAUCACUUGGAAAGUCACUGAGUUCUGAGGCAUAUAACCUUAAAGCUAAAUCCCCCAUGUUCUAUUUUUUAUCAUAUUUAGUGCUUUUUAGCCAGCCUGUUAUUAAAAUCUCUGCUUAACUGACAUUUUGCUCAGAAUCAUUCACAAAAUAAAGUCUUGAGAAAUAGUUCAAAUAUUUAUACCUGGCUGGCACGUAGUAGGUGCUCUAUAGAUACUUAUGAAUGCAUUGACUAUAUAUAUACAUAUAUAUAUAUGUAUAUAUAUAAUAUUUUUUGGUACCUGGAAUUGAACCCAGGACCAUUUGCUCACCAGGCAGAUGUGGUAGCUGAGCUACAUCCUUGGCCCUAUGGUAUAUACUUAUUUAAAAGAAAGAUAUUUUAUCUAAAAAUUACUUAUUUCUUCCUUUGGGUUAUAAGUAUGGGAAACAAAGUAGGUUUUUAUUUAUAUAACCACUUCAGCCUUGAGGAGUCCUUGUUUAUGUUUGUCAUCUUUUUCCUGAUCCUAAGGGGAGCAUUUCUGGAAAAGAAAAGGACCAUCAAGAUGAUCUGGUCCAGCACUGAUUUUACAGGUGCAGGAGCUGGAAGUUAACCAAGGAGCCCAAGAUCUCAUGCUGAGCAGAGGGGAAUCUCGUACUAUUACAAAGAAUCAAGAAAGAGGUCCAUGAUAUUUUAAAUGAAGAAGCAGAUUCCCAGACAGCUGAAGCCACGCUCCCACUGGAACCCUCAUCAGAAAAUCGUAGCAAACUCACUGUGUAGCACAAGCUGGCCUGGAACCCAUGGCAAUCCUCCUGCCUCAGCCUCCAGAGUGCUGCAGUUGCAGGCGUGCACCACUGUGCGUGGCUUUGAAUGAGACUGGGGCAGGGUGGGGCUUCCCAGUGGCCCUCAGUUAACCACAGACACAGAAACAUCUUACAAACUCCCUUCCUUCCGCCAUCAAUAUAAAUCUCUCCUUUCUAGUCUAUGAAAAGUUGAGUGCACCUUUAGCUACAGCAGCCUUAUUUUCCGGGGAGAAAAUUGGCUUAGCAGCAAGAAGUGAAAUUGCACGUCCAUUGUUACUGACCUGCCGUGCGCCCCUCCUCUGGGCUGACCAGUGGCGUCUGCUUUUCUUGGUUUUAAAGCUAUGCCUCAUCUUUUCUGUGUGGGGAAGAUUGCAGGUUAAGUUACUGGUAUUUCUCAAAUGUCACUCAGCCCUCGGAGUGGCUUUUAUUUAUCACAGACAGCAUCUCUAGGCCUGUUUCUCUCUUAAGCUCUGUUUAGUCUUUAACAGGUCUCUCCUUCCUCCUUUUUCUGUGGGGUCUUGAAGGAGGGUUUUGGGCAGCCAGAAAUACAGGCUUUGGUGUGAAAUUGACAUUUGUCCUUAAAAAGGAAAUUGAUUCCGACUUGUCACUAGCUGAGCAUUUUCUGCAUGAAGUCACAGAUUUUUACCAGGAGAGGGGAGCACCUUCCCCACAGGCAUGAGUCAGAGAAAUGACAGAGCUGGGCAGAUAGGUCCCUUCCCCUCAAGAGUACCUGUCCCUUCCUGUCGCUGAGCCCUCUGUCUCUCUCACCCUGUGCACACUGAGCCUCCACUGACCGCAGUCUCAGCCCCGAAGCAGAGAGACAAGCACCGGUGAGGGAGAACAAAGCUAUCGGAUCCCUUACAGAAGGGGGCUGCCUUUACCCUUCACCCCCACACUUCCACAGCUAAGAAUUUACCCUGAAGCCUCGUACCAGACAAGAUAUGCACAAGUUACUUGUCGAAGCAUUGUGUUUUGAGGACCAUUUAUUGAAAGCAAUGCACGUCCCUCUCCCAAGGAGACUGGUUGGGUACACAAAGGUGUGUUGCUGCAAAGAGGUGCAGCGCCAGAACCAAGCAUGAGGAAGAUGUGUCUGAACUGAAAGAGUGAUUUCCAGUGUUGAGUGAAAGAAGCAAGAUGGGAAUGAAUGAAGCUGGAUAUGGUGGCGCAUGCCUGUGAUCCUAGCACUUGGGAUGCUGAAGCAGGAGGGUCCCUGUGAGGUCCAGGCCAGCCUGGGCUACACAGUGAGUUCAAGACCAGCCUAGACCAGAUAGCAAGACCCUGUCUUAAAGGAAAAAAAAAAAAAAGGAUAGGAAAGAGAGUAUAUAGGAACCUGCCUUUGUGUGCACAGUUAAAGUCUUACACACAUGCUUUUAUUUUCUCCAAAAAAGAAUCAGAGGAAAUGAAAUCAAUAAAAAUGGUUACCUGCAGAGUAGGAAUAGAGGGUAAGACUUUUCUGAGUGUAUCUUUUCAUAUAAUUUUGAUUUAUGAUUGAUGUAGGUGUUUUACAUAUUCCAGUAAGUUUUAAAAAUGGAAAAGUAGGGGCAAAUAAGCCAAAAAAUGACCUCAGUGAUUAGCAAAUUGAAAAGACAAUCACAGAAAACAAUUAAUUCAAGUAGGGCUGAGGAUGUAGCUCAGUGAGAUGGCAUGUGUUAAUAUGCAUGAGGCCCUUGGUUCCAUCCCCAACAUCAAAUAAAUGAAUAAAAUCAAUUCAAGUAUCCUUUAAAUACCCUAUCUUUAUAACUUUAUGAAAUCUAUUCUAAGACCAAAAGCUGCAAAGAAAUCCCGAACUUUGCUAAGAUGUGGUGGGUUGAAUGCAUCCCAUGAAAAGAUCUGGUGAGGCCUCACCCCAGUACCUGUGAGAGGGAGUUCAUUUGGAAAUAGGGUCUUUGGAGAUGUAAUCAAGUUAUAGUAAGGUCAGACUGGACUAGCAUGGCCAUCAGCCACUGGCUGGUGACCUCAUGAGGGGACGGACAGGGCCACAGGCACACGGAAAGGAGGGUGCUACAUGAAGUCAUUGGCAGACACUGGAACCGUGGAUCCACCAAUGCCCAGCAAUGCCAAGGGUCAUGGACAAUGCCCAGGAGCUAGAAGAGAGGCAGGGGACAGAUUUUGCCUUACAGACUUUGAGGGAUCCAGGCUCAGCUGUCCCCGGGCUUUGGAUUUCUGGUCUCAAGAAUUAUAAGAUAACAAAUUUCUGUUGUUUCUAAGCCAGCCAGUGUGUGGUAUUUUGUUACAGCAACAGUAGGAGACUGAUACAAUAGAUUUCCUCUAGUUAUGGUACAGGUGGAGUAGGUCUGAAAUCCUUGUGUGUAUUUGUAAAGUAGACCAAUAUCCCACAAUAGAUACUGAUUUUGAGAACCAAGAUCUCAAUAGCAAUGGUUAAAAAGCAAGAUGUAAAUAUGGAAUGAGAAGAAGAAGAAAGACUGUGUUGGACACGCACGGACACACACACACACACUUCCCAGCUCUGUCCAUGACUGUUCCAGAAGCAAUGAUCUACAGAACUCGGGUCUUGGUUUUUAACAACAGUGUUCACUAAAGGAAGUAGGACUCUUUAGAAAAGUAUCUGGCUCUCCAUUUGGGACACUGAAGACAUAUGAAGCAUCUUGCAAUGUCAGAAAGCAUGGAGGAACUUAAAGACAGGAGGGGAUGCACCAGAGGGACCAUCUAGGACACUGAAGGGGCUCUUUCUGCCCAAAUUUGUCAUAUUGUGAGUGUCAGAAGGAACUUCACAGAAAUGGGUUAAAAUACAUUGAAUUAAAAACAACCAUGAGCGCAUAGUAAUGGACUUGAAACCAAAAUAAAACAAACCACAAACAAA